rnacentral:rRNA from 1 species
GCUAACUCUGUGCCAGCAGCCGCGGUAAUACAGAGGGUGCGAGCGUUGUCCGGAAUCACUGGGCGUAAAGGGCGCGUAGGCGGCUGGGUAAGCGUGUGGUGAAAGCCCGGGGCUCAACCCCGGGUCGGCCAUGCGAACUGUCCAGCUGGAGCACGGUAGAGGCACAUGGAAUUCCGGGUGUAGCGGUGGAAUGCGUAGAGAUCCGGAAGAACACCGGUGGCGAAGGCGGUGUGCUGGGCCGUGGCUGACGCUGAGGCGCGACAGCGUGGGGAGCAAACAGGAUUAGAUACCCUUGUAGUC